UUGAAAGCUUUUGGGGGAUACUGUUGCUGGCUUUUAACGAGGCAUGUGCACGUAUCUCUUAAAUCCAUUCAUCCACCUGUGCACCUUUUGUAGAAUGUCUCAUUUCAGAUCGGUUUGCAAAGUGUCUUUAAUGACCUUGUAGAUAAUGGUCUGGAAAGAGCUUCUAUGUUUUUAACAAACAAGUUAAGCAUGUUUAGAAUGUCAUUUUAUUGGGACUUGAUUGACCCUUUAAACUUGUA
rnacentral:misc_RNA from 1 species